rnacentral:rRNA from 1 species
UGCAAGUCGAGGGGAAACGACAUCGAAAGCUUGCUUUUGAUGGGCGUCGACCGGCGCACGGGUGAGUAACGCGUAUCCAACCUGCCCAUCACUUGGGGAUAACCUUGCGAAAGUAAGACUAAUACCCAAUGAUAUCUCUAGAAGGCAUCUGAAAGAGAUUAAAGAUUUAUCGGUGAUGGAUGGGGAUGCGUCUGAUUAGCUUGUUGGCGGGGUAACGGCCCACCAAGGCUACGAUCAGUAGGGGUUCUGAGAGGAAGGUCCCCCACAUUGGAACUGAGACACGGUCCAAACUCCUACGGGAGGCAGCAGUGAGGAAUAUUGGUCAAUGGACGAGAGUCCGAACCAGCCAAGUAGCGUGCAGGAUGACGGCCCUAUGGGUUGUAAACUGCUUUUAUAAGGGAAUAAAGUGAGUCUCGUGAGACUUUUUGCAUGUACCUUAUGAAUAAGGACCGGCUAAUUCCGUGCCAGCAGCCGCGGUAAUACGGAAGGUCCGGGCGUUAUCCGGAUUUAUUGGGUUUAAAGGGAGCGUAGGCCGGAGAUUAAGCGUGUUGUGAAAUGUAGAUGCUCAACAUCUGCACUGCAGCGCGAACUGGUUUCCUUGAGUACGCACAAAGUGGGCGGAAUUCGUGGUGUAGCGGUGAAAUGCUUAGAUAUCACGAAGAACUCCGAUUGCGAAGGCAGCUCACUGGAGCGCAACUGACGCUGAAGCUCGAAAGUGCGGGUAUCGAACAGGAUUAGAUACCCUGGUAGUCCGCACGGUAAACGAUGGAUGCCCGCUGUUGGUCUGAAUAGGUCAGCGGCCAAGCGAAAGCAUUAAGCAUCCCACCUGGGGAGUACGCCGGCAACGGUGAAACUCAAAGGAAUUGACGGGG